rnacentral:rRNA from 1 species
GAUGAACGCUGGCGGCGUGCCUAAUACAUGCAAGUCGAGCGAACGGACGAGAAGCUCGCUUCUCUGAUGUUAGCGGCGGACGGGUGAGUAACACGUGGAUAACCUACCUAUAAGACUGGGAUAACUUCGGGAAACCGGAGCUAAUACCGGAUAAUAUUUUGAACCGCAUGGUUCAAAAGUGAAGGACGGUCUUGCUGUCACUUAUAGAUGGAUCCGCGCUGCAUUAGCUAGUUGGUAAGGUAACGGCUUACCAAGGCAACGAUGCAUAGCCGACCUGAGAGGGUGAUCGGCCACACUGGAACUGAGACACGGUCCAGACUCCUACGGGAGGCAGCAGUAGGGAAUCUUCCGCAAUGGGCGAAAGCCUGACGGAGCAACGCCGCGUGAGUGAUGAAGGUCUUCGGAUCGUAAAACUCUGUUAUUAGGGAAGAACAUAUGUGUAAGUAACUGUGCACAUCUUGACGGUACCUAAUCAGAAAGCCACGGCUAACUACGUG